CGUAGGGGCUAGCGUUAUCCGGAUUUACUGGGGCGUAAAGGGUGCGUAGGUGGUUUCUUAAGUCAGGAGUGAAAGGCUACGGCUCAACCGUAGUAAGCUCUUGAAACUGGGAAACUUGAGUGCAGGAGAGGAAAGUGGAAUUCCUAGUGUAGCGGUGAAAUGCGUAGAUAUUAGGAGGAACACCAGUAGCGAAGGCGGCUUUCUGGACUGUAACUGACACUGAGGCACGAAGCGUGGGGAGCAAACAGGAUU
rnacentral:rRNA from 1 species